rnacentral:rRNA from 1 species
AUUGAACGCUGGCGGCCGGCCUAACACAUGCAAGUAGAACGAGUGGCGGACGGGUGAGUAAUGUCUGGGAAACUGCCUGAUGGAGGGGGAUAACUACUGGACACGGUAGCUAAUACCGCAUACCAUCGGAUGUGCCCAGAUGGGAUUAGCUCGUAGGUGGGGUAAAGGCUCACCUAGGCGACGAUCCCUAGCUGGUCUUAGAGGAUAACCAGCCACACUGGAACUGAGACACGGUCCAGACUCCUCCGGGAGGCAGCAGUGGGGAAUAUUGCACAAUGGGCGCAAGCCGGAUGCAGCCAUGCCGCGUGUAUGAAGAAGGCCUUCGGGUUGUAAAGUACUUUCAGCGGGGAGGCGUUACCCGCAGAAGAAGCACCGGCUAACGCCGUGCCAGCAGCCGCGGUAAUUC